rnacentral:rRNA from 1 species
ACGGACCACUGGUGUAUCUGUUGUCGACCAACGGCAUGGCAGAGUAGCCAAGUCUGGCAGGGAUAAACGCUGAAGGCAUCUAAGCGUGAAGCCCCCCUCAAGAUGAGAUAUCCCUCCUUCGGGAGUAAGACCCCUUGAAGACUACAAGGUAGAUAGGGCAGAGGUGGAA